UGGGGAAUAUUGGACAAUGGGCGAAAGCCUGAUCCAGCAAUGCCGCGUGAGUGAUGAAGGCCUUAGGGUUGUAAAGCUCUUUUACCCGGGAUGCAGUACCGGGAGAAUAAGCUCCGGCUAACUCCGUGCCAGCAGCCGCGGUAAUACGGAGGGAGCUAGCGUUGUUCGGAAUUACUGGGCGUAAAGCGCGCGUAGGCGGUUUUUAAGUCAGAGGUGAAAGCCCAGUGCUCAACACUGGAACUGCCUUUGAAACUGGAAAACUUGAAUCUUGGAGAGGUCAGUGGAAUUCCGAGUGUAGAGGUGAAAUUCGUAGAUAUUCGGAAGAACACCAGUGGCGAAGGCGACUGACUGGACAAGUAUUGACGCUGAGGUGCGAAAGCGUGGGGAGCAAACAGGAUUAGAUACCCUAGUAGUCCUGAGACUCCAAGGCACACAGG
rnacentral:rRNA from 1 species